rnacentral:lncRNA from 1 species
GGCGGAAGCACUGGAAGCAAGAUGGCGGCCGCCGAGACGGUCCUCAAAGGAAAAGCACCAAGGAUUCUCUUUUGUUGAAUUUGUGUUGGCAGAGUUUGGUCAGAUGAAGACUGGGUGGAGAAGUUUGCUG